rnacentral:lncRNA from 10 species
GGCGGAGGCUGCAGAGAGCUGAGAUUGUGCCACUGUGCUCCAGCCUGGGCAACAGAAUGAGACUCCGUCUCAAAAAAAAAAAUUUAAAUUAUAUAUAUUUUUUAAGAUACAGGAGUUUCACUAUGUUUCCCAGGCUGAAUUUGAGCUCCUGGGCUCAAGGAAUCCUCCCAUCUCAGCAUCCUGAGGUGUGAUAACUGUUGAAGCUGCUUGAUGGGUAAACAGGUGUAUUAGUCCAGUCUCACACUGCUAUGAAGAAAUAUCCGAGACUGGGUAAUUUAUAAAGAAAGGUUUAAUUGACUCAGUUCUGCAUGACUGGGUAAGGCCUCAGGAAACUUACGAUCAUGAUGGAAGGCAUCUCUUCACAGGGCUGCAGGAGAGCGAAUGAGUGCAGAGUGAAGAGUGGAAAAGCCCCUUACAAAACCAUCAGAUCUCUUGAGAACUCACUCACUAUCACAAGAACAGCAUGGGGGUAACUGCACCCAUGAUUCAAUUACCUCCCACCAGGUCCCUCCCACAACACAAGGGGAUUAUGGGAACUACAAUUCAAGAUGAGAUUUGGGUGGGGACACAGCCAAACCAUAUCAACAGGUUCAUUCAUUAUACUAUUAUUUUAAAACUUUUUGUAUAUAAACCAAAACAGCCAGGGGUGAGAACCUCAGAGCCAGCCACUUAGAAGGACAAGUGCCACCUCGGCAACUCUGCGGGCAGAACCAGCUUGGAGGAGAACAGGUUUGCAGGACCCUAAAUAAGAGGGGAGGGCUCAGUCUCCAAUGUCCUGGGCCCUGGGCAGCACAGAGCCACUUGGGGAAAGAAUAACUGGCACUUAGAGACGCAACUUGGGGUUUGGAAGGCUCUGCAAGCUGCUUCACUGUAAGCCCACACAGCCUCUGGAGUCCCCAUGUUUCAUGUACUAGGCCUGGAGGCCAGACUGAGGGUGCCGGCUGACUGAGGCAACCAAUGCAAACAAUCAGCUUCUUCUCUGUCUCCCUGCCCUCUCCUGACCAGCUUCACAGGGAUUCAGACCCCCAUCUCAGUUGGCAUCCCCCACUGCCCAUCACCACUGCUUCCCUGCACUGUCACUCCUCCCAUGGGCUCAUCUGCUAGUGCCAGGGAACGUUAGCCCAGCUGACUUCUUCGGGGAUCGGGGAAGGCUGAACGCAAAUCUGUACAACUGUGGGCACCCAGACACCCAUCGACAGAGGGAGCAGGAGAAGACCCCAGUGGUUGCUGCCAGAACUGUGUGAGCUGCUGAGAGAUUCCCCGGUAGAUUGACCCUACUUGCACAUCACUCCUUCAAUGAACAAAUCAAAUGAAUCCUAAAUGCUCAGGUAUCUACCAUCCUGGACUAGUUGAGUCUCCUCAGCCUUGGCCCAUGGACCAACACAGGAAUGCCCAUGUUCUCCACGUGCUCCUGAGAAAUAAUUUCCUGCACCACUGAAGUGGAUGCCCCCACCCUGCCGCACAUCUCAGCCCUGUCCUCCACCCAUUUCCGCUGGUGGCACUACUAGCUCCGGCCUCCUGCUCAGUUUGGGGCUCUAUCUGUCUUCUGUGCUCCAUUACCUUCCCCCAUGGCCUCUAGGGGCUGGGGAGGGGAGAGUUGGAGGGGGGCUGCUUAAGAGAUUUUUGGAAUCAGUGCCUGCGCAUCACCCGCUGCCAUGAGUUAUUUCAGCGCUGAUGUUUGUCUCGAGCUGAUUAUUCCAGCCCGAGAACAGGUGGAGCAGCCUGCGGUGGUUUAUUCGUCAGCCAAGGCCAUCUGUUCCCAACAAGCUGAGAUUUGUAGCUGAUUUCUGCUGGGGAGCAAGGAGUAGGGGUGGGGAGGGAGAGGGAGAUCACACCCACACCCCAGGGGACUUGCUCCUCCCAGACCUGCCAGGAUGCCUCAACCCCUGGGCUUCCCUUUUACUAGGGAUCCCACAUUUUCCAAUUUCUCAGAGAAACUCACUGGUCACUCAAGUCAGCAACAAUACUUCCCUAAGGGGCUACACCUUCUUAGAUGGAACCAUGUAUUAGAAGCACAAAUCUACCAGCCAGGCACAAAGUCUGGCCACUGAGCCAUGUCCCCACCUUGCAGAUCUUAAAAAAAAAAAAAAAAAAAAAGUAUAUCACUAUGACACAAAUGUCCUAAAUGACCUUCUCAACUCUUGGCUCCUCCUCAUCCCAACCCCACUGCCAGUCCCUUUAACAAAAACAGCCUCACCUAAACCGAUCACCUGCAGGGCUCUCAGCUGCAUGGGAGGGCUUGAUCUAGAUGCUCUUGUCUCAUCUGCGCUGCUCGCCUCCCCUAAAUACCCUGUUCAUGUUCCACCCUCCAAUCUGUUCCUCUUCCAGCUUCCCUCUCAGCCAUGCCGAGAGAAGCCUGCUGCUUUAAGAAUGGCUUUCCCUGAGCAAGGGAUCUAAGCAGUUUCUAAGCAGCUUUGCCACACGGUUUACCCCCUCCCGCCCACCCGCCUGCUAUGAUUUCUGUAUAUGAAAUGUUGGGAAAGAAGUGAUUCUUAUAAUCAUGCUAAUAUGACAAUUUGGGGCCUUCUUUGGUGUUGCUACACACAUCUGUACUGACUUUUAAAAAUUGUAUGAAAACUUGGUAUUGAAAGCACAGCCACUUCAUCUAUAACCCCACAUCCCCAGGUAAAACUACUUAUAGUUUUCAGAGGUCCCUUCUAAUAUUUAUUUAUUGAUCUGUGUUUUCCCUUCUACUUUUGUCAUGUCUAUAUGUAACCUUAGGAACCCAUUAACAGAGCUGUAAGACUGCCUCACUUUCUAGUUGGUUCUCUAGGCUUAUUUUGUCGGUUCCUGGGAGCAGAAGCUCCUUUCUACUAUUAAAACCUGCCCAGUGGCUGAGUAUGUUUCCACCAGAAACAGUAGCUCCCACAGAUGUUCUCCGGAACCCACAAAGGCAGGCCAUGAGACCUGUGCUUCCAGGGCAGAACCUUCCAGGGAGUGCACUCACUAGGGUCACUCUUCCUUGGACAGUAGUCCCCCAGCAGUCCUCAAGCAAGGGUGCCAACCUGCAGUUGAUGCCAGGCCCCAGGGUUAAGAUGAGCCAUGAGACCUCUUUCAUCACAUACAAUUUUAUAUUUGCCUGGCUGCCUGUCACUCACCGGUCUUUCAAAGUGCUAAUGUUUCCGAAGCUAUUGGCUAUAUCUUCCCCAUGCAGAGAUUUUUUUAAACUCCUUUUUUUCUUUUUGAGACAGAGUCUCACCCGUCGCCCAGGCUGGAGUGCAAUGGCAUGAUCUCGUCUCACUGCAAACUCCACCUUCAAGGGAUUCUCCUGCCUCAGCCUCCCGAGUAGCUGGGAUUACAUGUUCCCGCCAACACGCCCAGCUAAUUUUUUUUUUUUUUUUUGAGACGGAGUCUUGCUCUGUCGCCCAGGCUGGAGUGCAGUGGCUCGGAUCUCUGCUCACUGCAAGCUCCGCCUCCUGGGUUCAUGCCAUUCUCCUGCCUCAGCCUCCCGAGUAGCUGGGACUACAGGCACCCGCCACCAUGCCCGGCUAAUUUUUUGUAUUUUUUUAGUAGAGAUGGGGUUUCAUCGUGUUAGCCAGGAUGGUCUUGAUCUCCUGACCUCGUGAUCCACCCGCCUCAGCCUCCCAAAGUGCUGGGAUUACAGGCGUGAGCCACCGUGCCCGGCCUAAUUUUUGUAUUUUUAGUAGAGAGGGGGUUUCACCAUCUUGGCCAGGCUGGUCUCGAACUCCUGACUCCAGGUGAUCCACCCACCUCAGCCUUAACUCCUUUUUUUUUUAAAUUUCCAUUUUCAAAUUCCCUAGUGUCCUCUCUUUCCCAAAUCCAUUUGCUGCUUUUCCUAAUCUAGUCAGAUCAUAGAUGUGGCACAAAACAUAUAAAAAUUUCUUAAAAUGUGGAAACUCUUUGACUCUUAAGCCACUUCAAAUAUAAUUUGGCUGGAUAGUGUCAAAACGUAAUAUCCUUUUUGAAUUUUCUUUUCUUCUAAAACUGUCAUAGCUGACUUUUGAUAUCUACAGCAAAUUCUAUCUGCACAUAUAAGUAUUCCACUGGGGGAUUUAUGUGACUGACUUCAGUCGCAAAGCACACACUCUUUUUGGAAUCUCCCUUAUGUUUAUGACCCAUCUCUGGGGCUCACGCUACAGAAGACUCAAUUUCUCUGUACAAUUCCUUCUAAACACAUCCAGUAUCCUUGUUAACUCCAAAAUGGCUACUGCUCUGGAAAUCUUUCCUCCCAGAUCAAAUAGCAGGGAAUGGUCUGGAUUGUUGUUGUACUGUAAUGAAAUUAGACUGAAGUGAAUAUAGCUUAAAAUAUGCAUUCUGAGCGAUGUGGAACUGUUAUUCAUAUUGCUGGCACAGUGGGAGUGAAGUGAAAAUGUGAUAAUAUAUGGGGGAUGCUCUGAAAAUUGUGAAGCGCGACGCAAAUGUGAAGUAGAUAUUUUCCCCCCAAAUUGCCAAGAAGCGUUUCCUUUCUGAGGCCAGGACUUGGCGAAUGCCAGGCACACGCGAUUUGAGAUGAGGACCAUGGUAGUGAUUCUUUGCUUUCUUGCCUCUCACUGCAUCCUCUGCCAAGGCCAGAAUAGUUAGGAGACGCCUGGCCAGCUGCUGGAAGCAAGUUGAGGACUCUGCUUAGAAAGAUGACAUCACCCCUCAGCCUCAGUUUUCUUUCCAGGAUGACGUCUUCACAGAGUUGUGAUGGAGGUGAAAUGAGAUUUUGUAGGGCAAAGUGCUUAAGCGCUGGGGUCAUCAUAGUAAGUGCUCAACAAAUGGGAACUGUUGUUGGUCCUUUUUUUUUUUUUUUGAGAUGAAGUCUCUCUCUUGUCCCCUAGGCCAGAGUGCAAUGACACGAUCUUGGCUCACUGCAACCUCUGCCUCCCGGGUUCAAGCGAUUCUCCUGCCUCAGCCCCCCAAGUAGCUG